rnacentral:rRNA from 1 species
AUGGUGUCAGUCCUGGAGCUGGACAUGCGGAUUCGUGAGCGCGAGCUCGCGCUGACGGCCUCCGAGCUGGAGAAGCGCAAGCGCCUGGAGAACCUGGACCGCACCAUGGCAGUCGACGAGGCCUCCUGCGCCGCCCGCAUAGCAAAGGCCAACGCCAAGCUUGAGAAACAUGAGAUGAGAUACAAGAUGGAGGCCAACCGGAAGGCCCAGGAGGAGCCUUUUCAAACAAGGGGGUGGUGGAUCCUUGCGAGACUGGCGAUGCCAGCUACAUGGUAUUCUUCACCAAGCUCGUGGAUCGGCUGCGGGCUGGCACUGCCCGGUGGAACGAGCUCCUGCACAGGGAGUGUCGUGAUCUCCUGCGCCACGCUCCGACCCAUGUCUUCAUCAAUCUUCGGAAGAGCUCCAAGACAGCCUCGCGAGGGAGUGGAAGAGCACGUGGCGAAUCUGGUGGAUCAUUCCGCGCUCGUCGGGGAGGAGCCCGGCGGAGUCGAGGGCGCUAUCGACACCGACACCCCCGACGACGGCUCGUCCGUUUGGGUCUUUACCUUCCAUUCCCUGUAA